GAUGAACGCUAGCGGCAGGCUUAACACAUGCAAGUCGAGGGGCAGCGUAAUGAAGUAGCAAUACUGAUUUGACGGCGACCGGCGCACGGGUGCGUAACGCGUAUGUAACCUACCUUUAACAGGGGGAUAACACUGAGAAAUUGGUACUAAUACCCCAUAAUACUUUAGAGGGCAUCCUCUGAGGUUGAAAGUUCCGGCGGUUAAAGAUGGACAUGCGUUGUAUUAGCUAGAUGGUGAGGUAACGGCUCACCAUGGCGACGAUACAUAGGGGGACUGAGAGGUUAACCCCCCACACUGGUACUGAGACACGGACCAGACUCCUACGGGAGGCAGCAGUGAGGAAUAUUGGUCAAUGGACGCAAGUCUGAACCAGCCAUGCCGCGUGCAGGAUGACGGCUCUAUGAGUUGUAAACUGCUUUUGUACAAGGGUAAACCCCGGUACGUGUACCGGGCUGAAGUACUGUAUGAAUAAGCAUCGGCUAACUCCGUAGCCAG
rnacentral:rRNA from 1 species